rnacentral:rRNA from 1 species
GACAGAGGGUGCAAACGUUGUUCGGAAUUACUGGGCAUAAAGAGCACGUAGGUGGUUCGCUAAGUCACGUGUGAAAUCCCCCGGCUUAACCGGGGAAUUGCGCGUGAUACUGGCGAACUCGAGGCGGGUAGGGGUGAGCGGAACUCCAGGUGGAGCGGUGAAAUGCGUAGAUAUCUGGAGGAACACCGGUGGCGAAGGCGGCCUGCUGGGCAGUUACUGACACUGAGGCGCGACAGCGUGGGGAGCAAACAGG